rnacentral:rRNA from 1 species
AUUGAACGCUGGCGGCAGGCCUAACACAUGCAAGUCGAACGGUAACAGGAAACAGCUUGCUGUUUCGCUGACGAGUGGCGGACGGGUGAGUAAUGUCUGGUAAACUGCCUGAUGGAGGGGGAUAACUACUGGAAACGGUAGCUAAUACCGCAUAACGUCGCAAGACCAAAGAGGGGGAACGUCUGGCCUCUUGCCAUCGGAUGUGCGCACAUGGGUUUAGCUUGUUGGUGGGGUAACGGCUCACCCAGGCGACGAUCCCUAGCUGGGAUGAGUGGAUGAACAGGGACAAUGGAACUGAGAGACGGUACAGACACCUACGGGAGGCAGAAGUGGGGAAUAGUGCAAGAUGGGAGCAAGAUUGAAGAAGGCAUGCAGCGUGGAUGAAGAAGGCCUGCGGGGUGGAAAGUACUUUCAGCGGGGAGGAAGGGAGUAAAGUGAAUACAUUCGCUUAUUGACGUUACCUGCAGAAGAAGCACCGGCUAACUCCGUG